rnacentral:rRNA from 1 species
UACGUAGGGGGCUAGCGUUGUCCGGAAUCAUUGGGCGUAAAGCGCGUGUAGGCGGUUCGGUAAGUCCGCUGUGAAAGUCGGGGGCUCAACCCUCGAAUGCCGGUGGAUACUGUCGGACUAGAGUACGGAAGAGGCGAGUGGAAUUCCUGGUGUAGCGGUGAAAUGCGCAGAUAUCAGGAGGAACACCAAUGGCGAAGGCAGCUCGCUGGAACGGUACUGACACUGAGGCGCGAAAGCGUGGGGAGCGAACAGG